UGUGAGUUUGAAGGCAUAUGAAAGUGACACCUGUUUGUGUUUCACCCCUCCCAGGCUUUCCAUUCUCUUGCUUUGUGAAGCCUUUCCAGUCCAGCAACUUCUAAGAGCAUUUUAAAAUGUAUUCUUCCUCGACAAGUGCCUCUGUUUACAGUAGAGCUUUCAAGAGCUGACAGGGGGUAAAACAAGCUUUCUUUUGCUGUGGAACCAGAGCCUGGGAGAGCAAAUGUGGGAAGAUUUCUGCCAAUAUUUCCAAGCAAGCUGGACAGGCAUCCUCGGGGUGUAUAGAACAUCUACUCUGUUGCUUUGCUUUUUCCUAUUGCACCUGUCUGUUAUACUGAAGGACAACCAUCCCAGUUCAGUUCAGCAGUAAGGCUGGCAAGGAUCAAAAAGACCAAGAGGGUCUUCAAAAAUUUCUGGUAGACAAGUCAAUCCUACUGUUUGGACUGCAUGUUACAGACAGAAAAGUCUCCUGGGUACCCAGAAGAACCCUAAGGCAUCGGGUCAUUGCAGAGCACAUUCAUAUUAGUGAACUUCAGGAAGAGCAGAUAAGCAAUAGAUGAAACAAGCGGCUAAGGAAAAAAAGGUGUUCCAGUCAGGGGGGGCAGCUCACUAUAAUUCCAUCAUCCCAACAAGAACAGAGUCCUGCAAUUGCAGUAUAUGUGAACAUACACACACACACACAUCAAUAUUUGUAAUAGGAAUGCUCUUCACUUCUGAUUUUCCACUCUCCUCACUGUUCACUUCAUGACCCUCUCUGGAAAUCU